rnacentral:rRNA from 1 species
CCUACGGGGUGCUGCAGUGGGGAAUAUUGCACAAUGGGCGCAAGCCUGAUGCAGCCAUGCCGCGUGUGUGAAGAAGGCCUUCGGGUUGUAAAGCACUUUCAGCGGGGAGGAAGGCGGUGAGGUUAAUAACCUCAUCGAUUGACGUUACCCGCAGAAGAAGCACCGGCUAACUCCGUGCCAGCAGCCGCGGUAAUACGGAGGGUGCAAGCGUUAAUCGGAAUUACUGGGCGUAAAGCGCACGCAGGCGGUCUGUCAAGUCGGAUGUGAAAUCCCCGGGCUCAACCUGGGAACUGCAUUCGAAACUGGCAGGCUAGAGUCUUGUAGAGGGGGGUAGAAUUCUAGGUGUAGCGGUGAAAUGCGUAGAGAUCUGGAGGAAUACCGGUGGCGAAGGCGGCCCCCUGGACAAAGACUGACGCUCAGGUGCGAAAGCGUGGGGAGCAAACAGGAUUAGAUACCCGGGUAGUC